rnacentral:rRNA from 1 species
AGUUUGAUCCUGGCUCAGGAUGAACGCUAGCUACAGGCUUAACACAUGCAAGUCGAGGGGCAGCAUUGGAGUAGCAAUACUUCAGAUGGCGACCGGCGCACGGGUGAGUAACACGUAUCCAACCUGCCGCUUACUCGGGGAUAGCCUUUCGAAAGAAAGAUUAAUACCCGAUGGUAUAAAGAGUUCGCAUGUUCUCUUUAUUAAAGAAUUUCGGUAAGCGAUGGGGAUGCGUUCCAUUAGAUAGUUGGCGGGGUAACGGCCCACCAAGUCUACGAUGGAUAGGGGUUCUGAGAGGAAGGUCCCCCACAUUGGAACUGAGACACGGUCCAAACUCCUACGGGAGGCAGCAGUGAGGAAUAUUGGUCAAUGGACGCGAGUCUGAACCAGCCAAGUAGCGUGAAGGAUGACUGCCCUAUGGGUUGUAAACUUCUUUUAUAAGGGAAUAAAGUGAGGGACGUGUCCCUUUUUGUAUGUACCUUAUGAAUAAGGAUCGGCUAACUCCGUGCCAGCAGCCGCGGUAAUACGGAGGAUCCAAGCGUUAUCCGGAUUUAUUGGGUUUAAAGGGAGCGUAGGUUGACAUAUAAGUCAGCUGUGAAAGUUUACGGCUCAACCGUGAAAUUGCAGUUGAUACUGUAUGUCUUGAGUGUACAAGAGGUGGGCGGAAUUCGUGGUGUAGCGGUGAAAUGCUUAGAUAUCACGAAGAACUCCAAUUGCGAAGGCAGCUCACUGGGGUACAACUGACACUGAGGCUCGAAAGUGUGGGUAUCAAACAGGAUUAGAUACCCUGGUAGUCCACACAGUAAACGAUGAAUACUCGCUGUUUGCGAUAUACAGUAAGCGGCCAAGCGAAAGCAUUAAGUAUUCCACCUGGGGAGUACGCCGGCAACGGUGAAACUCAAAGGAAUUGACGGGGGCCCGCACAAGCGGAGGAACAUGUGGUUUAAUUCGAUGAUACGCGAGGAACCUUACCCGGGCUUGAAUUGCAGAGGAACAUAGUUGAAAGAUUAUGGCCGCAAGGUCUCUGUGAAGGUGCUGCAUGGUUGUCGUCAGCUCGUGCCGUGAGGUGUCGGCUUAAGUGCCAUAACGAGCGCAACCCUUAUCAUUAGUUACUAACAGGUCAUGCUGAGGACUCUAGUGAGACUGCCGUCGUAAGAUGUGAGGAAGGUGGA